rnacentral:miRNA from 1 species
UAGCUAGUUACAAAAGGUU